rnacentral:rRNA from 1 species
ACAUAACUGAUGCCUCCGCGUAUCGACUUUGUGCGCAUUUUAGCUAUUAUGUGUUCUUUUAAUUAAAAUGAUUCUUUUUAAGAUUCAUCUAUUAAAAAUUUGCCUCGGCAUAAUUUUUUUUGAUGAUCUUGUUACUUUGAGUAAAUUAGAGUGUUCAAAGCAAACAGAUAUAGCAUUUGUGCGUUUGAAUACUACAGCAUGGAAUAACAAAAUUGAACAAGUCAGAAUUUUUUUGUUCUUUUUUCUUAUUUUGGCUUAGUUACGAUUAAUAGGAGUAGCUUGGGGGCAUUUGUAUUCAGAUGUCAGAGGUGAAAUUCUUAGAUUUUCUGGAGACAAACAACUGCGAAAGCAUUUGCCUAAAAUACUUCCAUUAAUCAAGAACGAAAGUUAAGGGAGUGAAGACGAUCAGAUACCGUCGUAAUCUUAACCAUAAACUAUGCCGACUAGGCUUUGGAUGAAAGAUUUUAAAAUAAGAGUUUUUCUUUUCUCUCCGGAGAUUAGAACUCUUAGAUUGCUUCCUUCAGUGCCUUAUGAGAAAUCAAAGUCUUUGGGUUCUGGGGCGAGUAUUCGCGCAAGCGAGAAAGUUAAAAGAAUUGACGGAAGGGCACCACCAGGCGUGGAGCUUGCGGCUUAAUUUGACUCAACACGGGAAAACUCACUAGUUUAAGACAAGAGUAGGAUUGACAGAUUAAUAGCUCUUUCUUGAUUUCUUGGAUGGUGAUGCAUGGCCGUUUUUAGUUCGUGAAUAUGAUUUGUCUGGUUAAUUCCGAUAACGAACGAGAUCUUAACCUGCUAAUUAGCGGCAAAUACGAUAUAUUCUUAUGUAGAAUUGAAUAUAGUGGAUUUGUUGGAUUUUGAAGAAAAUAUUGGAAUUACGUUAAAUGUGAUUCCUUUCCCUUUUCUACUUAAUUUACAUUUCCAUCUAUUUCUUUUUUGCGUAUGAAUGUAUUUGCUUGAUUGUAAAGCUUCUUAGAGGAACGAUGUGUG